rnacentral:rRNA from 1 species
UUUAAACGGUAGGGUAUUGGCCUACCGUGGCAAUGACGGGUAACGGGGAAUUAGGGUUCGAUUCCGGAGAGGGAGCCUGAGAAACGGCUACCACAUCUAAGGAAGGCAGCAGGCGCGCAAAUUACCCAAUCCUAAUACAGGGAGGUAGUGACAAGAAAUAACAAUACAGGACUUUUUGGUUUUGUAAUUGGAAUGAGUUAAGU